rnacentral:rRNA from 1 species
AUGUUCGAUCCUGCGGAUCAGGAGCUGAUCGAGCACCUUGAGGCCAAAGUGAGUGCUGAUAGCGCGAGAUCUCACCCUCUCAUCGAUUUGUUCAUACCAACCAUCGACGUCGAGCACGACAUAUGCUACACCCAACCUGAGAAACUUCCAUACUGGUGA